GGGGCCGUAGCUCAAUUGGAUAGAGCAUCGGACUGUCGAUCCGAAGGUUGAGGGUUCGAACCCCUUCGGCCUCG
rnacentral:tRNA from 1 species